ACGGGUGAGUAAUGUCUGGGAAACUGCCUGAUGGAGGGGGAUAACUACUGGAAACGGUAGCUAAUACCGCAUAACGUCGCAAGACCAAAGAGGGGGACCUUCGGGCCUCUUGCCAUCAGAUGUGCCCAGAUGGGAUUAGCUAGUAGGUGGGGUAAUGGCUCACUUAGGCGACGAUCCCUAGCUGGUCUGAGAGGAUGACCAGCCACACUGGAACUGAGACACGGUCCAGACUCCUACGGGAGGCAGCAGUGGGGAAUAUUGCACAAUGGGCGCAAGCCUGAUGCAGCCAUGCCGCGUGUAUGAAGAAGGCCUUCGGGUUGUAAAGUACUUUCAGCGGGGAGGAAGGUGUUGUGGUUAAUAACCGCAGCAAUUGACGUUACCCGCAGAAGAAGCACCGGCUAACUCCGUGCCAGCAGCCGCGGUAAUACGGAGGGUGCAAGCGUUAAUCGGAAUUACUGGGCGUAAAGCGCACGCAGGCGGUCUGUCAAGUCGGAUGUGAAAUCCCCGGGCUCAACCUGGGAACUGCAUUCGAAACUGGCAGGCUAGAGUCUUGUAGAGGGGGGUAGAAUUCCAGGUGUAGCG
rnacentral:rRNA from 1 species